AUUGAACGCUGGCGGCAGGCCUAACACAUGCAAGUCGAACGAGUGGCGGACGGGUGAGUAAUGUCUGGGAAACUGCCCGAUGGAGGGGGAUAACUACUGGAAACGGUAGCUAAUACCGCAUACCAUCGGAUGUCCCCAGAUGGGAUUAGCUUGUAGGUGAGGUAACGGCUCACCUAGGCGACGAUCCCUAGCUGGUCUGAGAGGAUGACCAGCCACACUGGAAUUGAGACACGGUCCAGACUCCUAGGGGGGGCAGAAGUGGGGAAUAUUGCACAAUGGGCGAAAGCCGGAUGCAGCCAUGCCGCGUGUAGGAAGAAGGCCUUGGGGUUGAAAGUACUUUCAGCGGGGAGGCGUUACCCGCAGAAGAAGCUCCGGCUAACUCCGUGCCAGCAGCCGCGGUAAUAC
rnacentral:rRNA from 1 species